ensembl:lncRNA
AAGAUGGUAGACAGUUCAUUCAGUCAGUAAGAUGGUAGACAGUUCAUUCAGUCAGUAAGAUGGUAGACAGUUCAUUCAGUCAGUAAGAUGGUAGGCAGUUCAUUCAGUCAGUAAGAUGGUAGGCAGUUCAUUCAGUAAGAUGGUAGACAGUUCAUUCAGUCAGUAAGAUGACAGUUCAUUCAGUCAGUAAGAUGGUAGGCAGUUCAUUCAGUAAGAUGGUAGACAGUUCAUUCAGUCAGUAAGAUGGUAGGCAGUUCAUUCAGUCAGUAAGAUGGUAGGCAGUUCAUUCAGUCAGUAAGAUGGUAGGCAGUUCAUUCAGUAAGAUGGUAGACAGUUCAUUCAGUCAGUAAGAUGGUAGUCAGUUCAUUCAGUCAGUAAGAU